AAAAUGGAGAGUUUGAUCCUGGCUCAGGAUGAACGCUGGCGGUAUGCUUAACACAUGCAAGUCGAACGGUCUCU
rnacentral:ncRNA from 1 species